CCCUUAGACGUUCUGGGCCGCACGCGCGCUACACUGACCAGUGCAACAAGCAUCCGUCCUUGGCCGACAGGCUCGGGCAAUCUUUGAACGCUGGUCGUGAUGGGGAUAGACUUUUGCAAUUUUUGGUCUUCAACGAGGAAUUCCUAGUAAACGCAAGUCAUCAACUUGCAUUGAUUACGUCCCUGCCCUUUGUACACACUGCCCGUCGCACCUACCGAUUGAAUGGUCCGGUGAAGCCUCCGGAUUGGCGCGCACCUCGGUGCCGCCGAGAAGUUGGCUAAACCUUACCAUUUAGAGGAAGGUGAAGUCGUAACA
rnacentral:rRNA from 1 species